UAUGUUGACCCUACAGGAAGUACUAGUGAAGUGCAACCCCAAUGACAAUGGUACACUGACAGACUGUGAACUGGGAAACCCAUUCAAAAGAGAUGCUGAAGUUACUUUCUAUGUAAUAUUGUCCACUUCCCGCAUCUCUCUGAGCACAACUGAUGUAAAUGUUACCUUGCAGCUUGAAACGACAAGUGUGCAGAAGAUACAAGCAAGUGAAGCAAAGGCCAAAGUAGUUUUUGAGCUGCACCUACAAGUAUUUGGGUGGGUGUACGGACAUGGUAUUUGUUCUGCUGUUGCCCUAACCCACCCUUUUAGCUAACAUAAUUGAAGAGCUCCUGUCAUGAAAAUAUAGUUUGUGUUACAAAUGACAACCUAUUCAAUAUUUAGUGCACUAUUUUUGACCAGAGCACUAUGGGACCUUAUCAAAAUUAGUGCAUUACAUAGGGAAUAGAGUGCCAUUUGGGACGCAAACCUGAAUGUGGUGAAGGAAUUAAGGUUUAAGAGAUGUGUUUGUUCUCAGACUGGCCAGGUCCUCCCAGGUCAGCUUUGGAGGAGCUGUAAAGGGAGAGAGCGCCAUGAAAUCAGAGGACGAUAUUGGAACCCUUGUGGAGUGUGAAUUCAGGGUGACCUCAUUGAAUUGUGGCUCAAAAUGCUAUUGUUCCCUGGUGCUUAUCGAAAUUACAUAUGCCUUAGUCCUGAGAGAACACACAGGAUUUAUAGUAUAUCCUUUAGUUUCAAUACACCCAAUUCAAGUAUAUUCUACUACUCAAAAUCAAGCCCAUGAUUACAGCAGUUUCAGUUGUAUCACCUAUAUUAGUACUGGGAUGUAACAAUAACCUUCACACCCUGUGGGUUUCCAAGGAUCAGGAUAUAUAUACAUUGCCUUAGACCUUUCAUGUCAUCAUGUCCACUGGUCAUUUUGAAUGACUUGGAUUUGUUUACAGGGCAAGGCCAGUAGUCAAUAUCAGAGAGGACUUACGAAUCACCCCAAGUACAAUCAAUAUGGCGGCAGAGCACUGUGACAAACACAAAUGGUAAGACUUUCAAGAAACAAAAUAUAAACAAAUAUCAAUAUACUGCCGUAAUGAAACCCAACAUAAUUGUGUUGGGCAUGGCACGGGCAUGCUUUACCUACACAGCACAGCCGCCAUCCUACAACCCCAGACUGAGUAAGUUCCUUACCUUCAGUCUCCACAAUGACCAUUCCCUGGUACUGCUGAGAUUGAGGCUGUCCUAAUAUGGACACCGUACUCUUGAUACUUUAUGUACACUGUGCUUCUGGAACUUAUGCAAUGUGUUCUCUUCCAAAAGCUGUCAACUAUGCCUUCGAGGCUUACGCUGAGACGGGGAAACAGAGGCGUUCCUCCAGGAUGCAGUUUAUUUGUCAAAGGUAGCUCUCCUUUUGAAAGAAGUGCCUAAAGUAUUACACAUACUAUCCAUCUAAUUUGAAAGGAAUUAAGAUAUUCAAAAAAAAAUAGAAAUUCAAAAGUGUUUUAGUACAACCUAGGCAAAAGGGUCAGAAAUACUUGCUGCUGCUAACCUGGUGUUGGGCUGCAAGUAGCAAUUUGUUCUCUUUUCAAGGAACGGGUCCCGACUUCUUGGGACCCAUGUGUAUGGGUGUGGUCUUCCAGUCACAGGGAUGACUGAAAGAUCCACUACUAUGAUGUUUUAAUUACUUGUGUGUAUAUAUACUGAACAAAAAUAUAAAUGCAACAUGUAUUUCCCAUGCUUCAUGAGCUGAAAUAAAAGAAAUCGUAGAAAUUAUACAUUGUCUCAAAUGUUGUUUGUAUCCCUCUUAGUGAGCCUUUCUCCUUUGACAAGAUAAUCCAUCCACCUGACAGGUGUGGCAUAUCACAAAGCUGAUUAAAUGGCAUGAUCAUUAUACAGGUGCACCUUGUAUUGGGGACAAUAAAAGGCCACUCUAAAAUGGGCAGUGUUGUCACACAACACAAUAUUACAGAUGUCAAGUUUUGAGGGA